rnacentral:rRNA from 1 species
GACGAACGCUGGCGGCGUGCUUAACACAUGCAAGUCGAACGGAAAGGCCCUGCUUUUGUGGGGUGCUCGAGUGGCGAACGGGUGAGUAACACGUGAGUAACCUGCCCUUGACUUUGGGAUAACUUCAGGAAACUGGGGCUAAUACCGGAUAGGAGCUCCUGCUGCAUGGUGGGGGUUGGAAAGUUUCGGCGGUUGGGGAUGGACUCGCGGCUUAUCAGCUUGUUGGUGGGGUAGUGGCUUACCAAGGCUUUGACGGGUAGCCGGCCUGUGAGGGUGACCGGCCACAUUGGGACUGAGAUACGGACCAGACUCCUACGGGAGGCAGCAGUGGGGAGUAUUGCACAAUGGGCGGAAGCCUGAUGCGGCAACGUCGCGUGCGGGAUGACGGCCUUCGGGUUGUAAACCGCUUUCGCCUGUGACGGAGCGUGAGUGACGGUAAUGGGUAAAGAAGCACCGGCUAACUACGUG